UAGGGAAUAUUGGUCAAUGGGCGAGAGCCUGAACCAGCCAUGCCGCGUGCAGGACGACGGCCUUCUGGGUUGUAAACUGCUUUUAUACAGGAGUAAAAGGGCCUUGCGGGGCAAAUUGCAAGUACUGUAUGAAUAAGCACCGGCUAACUCCGUGCCAGCAGCCGCGGUAAUACGGAGGGUGCGAGCGUUGUCCGGAUUUAUUGGGUUUAAAGGGUGCGUAGGCGGUUAUUUAAGUCAGUGGUGAAAACCCUGAGCUCAACUGAGGGCUUGCCAUUGAUACUGAAUAACUUGAUUACCGUAUAGGUAGGCGGAAUUUAUGGUGUAGCGGUGAAAUGCAUAGAUACCAUAAAGAACACCGAUAGCGAAGGCAGCUUACUGGACGGCAAAUGACGCUGAUGCACGAAAGCGUGGGUAGCGAACGGGAUUAGAUACCCCCGUAGUCC
rnacentral:rRNA from 1 species